GGACGAGAAGCUUGCUUCUCUGAUGUUAGCGGCGGACGGGUGAGUAACACGUGGAUAACCUACCUAUAAGACUGGGAUAACUUCGGGAAACCGGAGCUAAUACCGGAUAAUAUUUUGAACCGCAUGGUUCAAAAGUGAAAGACGGUCUUGCUGUCACUUAUAGAUGGAUCCGCGCUGCAUUAGCUAGUUGGUAAGGUAACGGCUUACCAAGGCAACGAUGCAUAGCCGACCUGAGAGGGUGAUCGGCCACACUGGAACUGAGACACGGUCCAGACUCCUACGGGAGGCAGCAGUAGGGAAUCUUCCGCAAUGGGCGAAAGCCUGACGGAGCAACGCCGCGUGAGUGAUGAAGGUCUUCGGAUCGUAAAACUCUGUUAUUAGGGAAGAACAUAUGUGUAAGUAACUGUGCACAUCUUGACGGUACCUAAUCAGAAAGCCACGGCUAACUACGUGCCAGCAGCCGCGGUAAUACGUAGGUGGCAAGCGUUAUCCGGAAUUAUUGGGCGUAAAGCGCGCGUAGGCGGUUUUUUAAGUCUGAUGUGAAAGCCCACGGCUCAACCGUGGAGGGUCAUUGGAAACUGGAAAACUUGAGUGCAGAAGAGGAAAGUGGAAUUCCAUGUGUAGCGGUGAAAUGCGCAGAGAUAUGGAGGAACACCGGUGGCGAAGGCGACUUUCUGGUCUGUAACUGACGCUGAUGUGCGAAAGCGUGGGGAUCAAACAGGAUUAGAUACCCUGGUAGUCCACGCCGUAAACGAUGAGUGCUAAGUGUUAGGGGGUUUCCGCCCCUUAGUGCUGCAGCUNAACGCAUUAAGCACUCCGCCUGGGGAGUACGACCGCAAGGUUG
rnacentral:rRNA from 1 species